UCGCCAGGCAACCACCGCGGACUCCCGACGCCCGGGCUCCGGGCAUGCUGGGAGUUGUAGUUGUUACUGCGCCACGCGCGGCGUCAUGGAGCAUCCUCGAGGCCACAGGAGUGAAGAAUGGUAUGGACCCACUGAAAGUUGACAGGAUGAGGCAUGACUGGAUUUGUGCUUUAGAACUCACACAUUGCCGAGGCCUGGAGAUCCAGGGAGAACAGGACUGGAAGCCUUUACAGUCUACAGGGCAGCGAAAUGACGGCCUGGAUUAGUUGGAGGCUGUAGGCUGCUCAAGACUGAGAAGGCCUGGUGUCGGCUGGGGACCACGGUUAGGAUCUGAGACCUGGCACAAGUUUUGCAACCUAUCAGUUUCAGACUGUCGUGUUUUUAAGCCUGGACAAUGGGGCGGUCUUGUAGAGCUGCCUGUGAAGAUGAACUAUACAAAAAGCACCUGGCAUGUGGUAGGUCUCAAUCUUUGAUGACCACCAAGAAGGGCCUAUUCAUCAAGGGUACAAGCAUUCCUACCACCAUUCAUUCCUCCUUAAAAGACAUGAACAUAUGAUAAAAUCAAAGCGGUAUCUAAUUUCUAUGAACCCCCCCCCAAAACUCAUGUUUGACAAGUGCUGUUUCCCCUAACGUCAUUCUUGAGUGUGAAAAAGCGCAUCUCAGGUUGGCACACGGUCCUUGGAAACAAGGACACCAGGCCUUGACACAUAGGCCAAGCAAGAUGAAGGCUUAACAGUUGCUAUAAAUGAGGAAUUCAGGGGCACUUGGGUGGUUCUGUCAGUGAAGUGUUUGCCUUUGGCUCAAGUCAUGAUCUCAGGGUCCUGGGAUUAAGUCCCACAUUGA